UACAGAGGGUGCGAGCGUUAAUCAGAAUUACUGGGCGUAAAGCGCACGUAGGUGGCUUUGCAAGUCGAUUGUGAAAUCCCCGGGCUUAACCUGGGAACUGCAGUCGAGACUGCUUUGCUUGAGUAUGGGAGAGGGAGGUGGAAUUUCCGGUGUAGCGGUGAAAUGCGUAGAUAUCGGAAGGAACAUCAGUGGCGAAGGCGACCUCCUGGACCAAUACUGACACUCAAGUGCGAAAGCGUGGGGAGCAAACAGG
rnacentral:rRNA from 1 species